rnacentral:rRNA from 1 species
AUUGAACGCUGGCGGCAGGCCUAAUACAUGCAAGUCGAGCGGUUGACGGGAGCUUGCUCCCUGAUUCAGCGGCGGACGGGUGAGUAAUGCCUAGGAAUCUGCCUAUUAGUGGGGGACAACGUUUCGAAAGGAACGCUAAUACCGCAUACGUCCUACGGGAGAAAGCAGGGGACCUUCGGGCCUUGCGCUAAUAGAUGAGCCUAGGUCGGAUUAGCUUGUUGGUGAGGUAAUGGCUCACCAAGGCGACGAUCCGUAACUGGUCUGAGAGGAUGAUCAGUCACACUGGAACUGAGACACGGUCCAGACUCCUACGGGAGGCAGCAGUGGGGAAUAUUGGACAAUGGGCGAAAGCCUGAUCCAGCCAUGCCGCGUGUGUGAAGAAGGUCUUCGGAUUGUAAAGCACUUUAAGUUGGGAGGAAGGGCAGUAAGUUAAUACCUUGCUGUUUUGACGUUACCGACAGAAUAAGCACCGGCUAACUUCGUGCCAGCCGCCGCGGUAA